AACCGUAACUUGGCUUAAUUGAUUUUAUAAAAAAAAAAAAAAUCAAGACAAUCGAAAACACAUGUGACCGAAUCCUAGCGCAUGUGCUCGAAUCGUUGAUAUACACUUGCACUGACAAAAUUUGCGAAUCACUGGUUUAACGAUGACCGGUUGCUAAUUAUUUGCAGGUACUACACGACAAUAAGCAGCGCAGAGCAAAGAAGACGUUACAAGGCAGAAUUCAACGCGGACUACGAAGAAUAUCGAAGGUUGCAUACUCAAGUGGCGAAGGUUUCUAAACGGUUCUCGCAACUCCAAGACCGAUUAAGACAAGAAGAGGCCUCUGGGAACUGGGAAGAAUAUCAGGGAAUAAGACAGCAGAUUCUGUACGAGUAUAACGAAACGAAACGGGACCCGGUACACAAGGAGACGAAACGUCGGUUUCACUAUCUGCACGAGAAGCUAAGCCAUAUCAAACGGCUGGUACUCGAAUACGAUACUCAAAACUGCGGCGGCAACAUGGUGACGGCGUCCGGGAACAGCGCAGACGGUAGCAACGAAAUGAAGGAGAUGGACAGUUUGCACUACUGACACAAACUGAAAAGGCCGCCUCUUAUCCUCCACCUUUUCUCGGUUGUCGGUACACUGCUGUCUCCGUUGUCGCAGAAUUUGCAUUUUCUCGGCAUGUUCCAAGGCUGAUCUAAAACGGUCCACAUGGUUCCUGGGUUCUAUCGCCGAAAAAUAAAACACACACACACACACACAGUCAAGCACUCUGAGAGCCGGGGUCGCAAAAGAUGUUCACAUCAUCCGCAUCGCAAGAGAAACGAAAAAAUGAAAAAAUAUGAAAGAAACCUUCAACGCUGUUAAUAACCGCCCCCCUCCCUGGUCAGGUCGAAGAUUUCUCGGUUAAUUGACACAGCGAUCUCUUCGACUUGCGCCCGUGUUUGUCACACGCCUACCGUUGACCAAUGGGUUUAACCACUGACGAAGCCUUUACGACAAUCGGUACGUUUGCAAACAAACAAACAAACAAGCAACAUCAUCAACUGUUUAAAAAAUGAAAAACAUGCAAAACGAAAGGAAAGAAAAAAGGAAACAAAAAGUCCAUCCGUAUAGAGAGGAAACGAGAAAUAAGGGCAUUCGCGGAGAGCCGGUUACAAUAACGCGCCAGCUGAAAGUACGAAGACGUGUCUUUUUUUUUGUUUUUUUUUGUUUUUUUUUUAAAAAAAGCUAUCCUCCGACGAUAGGGAAGAUAAUAGGAACGACGAUGAAAGGCAAUGAAGAGAAUGCAGUAAUUAACUCUACGAUAAGUUACUUACCCGUGCGCACGUCCAAAGUGUGUCGUCCAGUUUAAGAGUACGUAGAUUAAUGAAACAAAAAGUAAAAAAGAAAAAAAACGAUGCAAUGCGAAUGCGAGAAGAGGGUCCAAAAAAAAAAUGGUAGUAAAAGGGCUUAAUCACGUGCCACGUCCGGAGGAGAGACUGUACUUCCAUUUUUCCGCCGGAAGGAGAAAAGGGAGACUAGCACACACAGACUGUCCACGAGCCCGCCUGCGAGGAUCGUCUGCGAUUGAUCCAGCGGGGCGUAGCUCGCCAUUUUCUUUCCUUCAAUUAUUUUUUUUUUUUCUCUUCGUUUAAACGUUUCCGUAUUUUUCGUGUUUUCCCUUCGAGAAAGAGUAAAGUGGAUCCGAUAUAUAGUUUGUCGCAAGAGAGAGAGACCUUUACGCUUCGCGAAUGUAAAACCUUUGUUACUUCCUCGUUCAGCGGCGUAGCCAGCGUAUCCCUGGGGCCCGUGGAAUGAAAAAUUAACGGUGGAACAAGCAAUCCGAGGUUCGAGUAAUAUUACAGAGGAAUCGCCAACGGUACCUGCGAUCAAUAUUCGAUAGAUUGAACCAAAUUUCUAUCUGAGAUAUUACAGGGCCUCGAUAUCCACCAUUUAUCGGACGUGCGUCUGCAAACAGCCACGUUCGCAAUUUUAAAACAAUCAAAGAUCAAUCGAUACCGCGUUCCUUUCUGUUUGUUCGUCUGGGGCCCCUGAAGUUAAUCAAUGAUAUAGUUGCGCCGCUGUCCCUCGUUCUUUGUUUUCUUCACUACGGCCCGCUCCUGUGUCGCGGACUCGGGCUACCUUUACUAGUAGAGAGUUGGCACAACUUGAGAAUCGAUCGCGCGAAAACGGCAGACAUGAAGAAAGGACGAAACAUGAUUGCUAAGGACUCAGUUUUAUUUUUGUUCUUUUUUUUUUUUAGAAAUACCUGCCAUAAAGUGAUAUAUUAACCGAGCAAAUCAACCGAUCGCGCCCCGGUUCGUUGAACUUCUGUCAGCGAUAGGCGAGAGAGGCAGGGACUGCGUCGAUAGUCGAGGGUCCCAAACCACCCCCCCCAGGUCCCUACCGAUUCGCGCGAUUGCUCUUAGUGAUUCCGGUUCUGUAUAUCGUAAACGCUAGGGUAAACCCAUUUUUUACUAUUUCAAGUUAGUCAUUGAAAGGGAGAAUGCUCAGCGCCAUCGUCAUCGAUACUGCAAAGAUUUUACACGCGGCAACAUGAAAAUACAAAAAAAAAAAAAAAGAAAAAAAUGAAAGAAACGAGAGAGAUGAAAUGAAACGAAGUGGUAUGAAUAUAUAUUGAAACGUACAGGUUUCAUUUAGUAAUUAUUAAUCGUCGCCGGCGAUAUAACAUAUUAGUAUACAAUGUACAGGUGCGCCAAUUUUCUUCGCGUGCAAGUAAUACCUUCUUCGUGUAAUUAUUAUUAUGGCGAUGAAUACUAUUAAUAUUAUUAUCAACGCUAUUGCUAUUAUAUUAU